rnacentral:rRNA from 1 species
GUGGGGUAAUUUUCCGCAAUGGGCGAAGCCUGACGGAGCAAUGCCGCGUGGAGGUGGAAGGCCUACGGGUCGUCAACUUCUUUUCUCGGAGAAGAAACAAUGACGGUAUCUGAGGAAUAAGCAUCGGCUAACUCUGUGCCAG